rnacentral:lncRNA from 1 species
AUCCCCUAUUUUGGUCGUCCGUGUUCUUUGAUUUUCUGGCACCAUCUGGCAUCAUCCAUCGCCGUCGGCCCUCGCAUCCAAGUUUUGUGGCUGCAUCACUGUAGGCUGCAACUCCAGCCACCUUUGUCGGCUAGACUCCCUUGAAGUCAACGUGGGAGAAGGGGAGUAAAAAAUAUCCCCUGUUUUACCGCCCAAACAUGAGG